CCUACGGGAGGCAGCAGUGAGGAAUAUUGGUCAAUGGACGAGAGUCUGAACCAGCCAAGUAGCGUGAAGGAUGACUGCCCUAGGGGUUGUAAACUUCUUUUAUAUGGGAAUAAAACGUUCCACGUGUGGGCUUUUGUAUGUACCAUAUGAAUAAGGAUCGGCCAGCUCUGUGCCGGCAGCCGCGGUAAUACGGAGGAUCCGAGCGUUAUCCGGAUUGAUUGGGUUGAAAGGGAGCGUAGGUGGAUUGUUAAGGCAGUUGUGAAAGUUUGCGGCUCAACCGUAAAAUUGCAGUUGAAACUGGCAGUCUUGAGUGCAGUAGAGGUGGGCGGAAUUCGUGGUGUAGCGGUGAAAUGCUUAGAUAUCACGAAGAACUCCGAUUGCGAAGGCAGUUCACUGGACUGCAACUGACACUGAGGCUCGAAAGUGUGGGUAUCAAACAGGAUUAGAUACCCGGGUAGUC
rnacentral:rRNA from 1 species